rnacentral:rRNA from 1 species
CCUACGGGAGGCUGCAGUGAGGAAUCUUCCACAAUGGGGGCAACCCUGAUGGAGCAACGCCGCGUGCAGGAUGAAGGCCUUCGGGUUGUAAACUGCUUUUGUACGUGAAGAAUAUGACGGUAACUAACGAAUAAGGAUCGGCUAACUACGUGCCAGCAGCCGCGGUCAUACGUAGGAUCCGAGCGUUAUCCGGAGUGACUGGGCGUAAAGAGUUGCGUAGGUGGUCGGUAAAGCGAAUAGUGAAAUCUGGUGGCUCAACCAUACAGGCUAUUAUUCGAACUCACCGACUCGAGAGUGGUAGGGGUAGCUGGAAUUUCUCAAGUAGGGGUAAUAUCCGUAGAUAUGAGAAGGAACACCAAUGGCGUAGGCAGGCUACUGGACCAUUUCUGACACUGAGGCACGAAAGCGUGGGGAGCGAACCGGCUUAGAUACCCCAGUAGUC